rnacentral:rRNA from 1 species
UACGGGGGGGGCGAAGCGUUGUUCGGAAUUACUGGGCGUAAAGGGCCAGUAGGCGGCCAACUAAGUCCGACGUGAAAUCCCGAGGCUCAAACCUCGGGUCUGCAGUCGAUACGGGCAAACUAGAGUAUUGCAGGGGAGACUGGAAUUCCUGGUGUAGCGGUGAAAUGCGCAGAUAUCAGGAGGAACACCGGUGGCGAAGGCGGGUCUCUGGGCAAUGAACUGACGCUGAGGAGCGAAAGCGUGGGGAGCGAACAGG